GAUGAACGCUGGCGGCGUGCCUAAUACAUGCCAGUCGAGCGAACGGACGAGAAGCUUGCUUCUCUGAUGUUAGCGGCGGACGGGUGAGUAACACGUGGAUAACCUACCUAUAAGACUGGGAUAACUUCGGGAAACCGGAGCUAAUGCCGGAUAAUAUUUUGAACCGCAUGGUUCAAAAGUGAAAGACGGUCUUGCUGUCACUUAUAGAUGGAUCCGCGCUGCAUUAGCUAGUUGGUAAGGUAACGGCUUACCAAGGCAACGAUGCAUAGCCGACCUGAGAGGGUGAUCGGCCACACAGGAACUGAGACACGGUCCAGACUCCUAAGGGAGGCAGCAGUAGGGAAUCUUCCGCAAUGGGCGAAAGCCUGACGGAGCAACGCCGCGUGAGUGAUGAAGGUCUUCGGAUCGUAAAACUCUGUUAUUAGGGAAGAACAUAUGUGUAAGUAACUGUGCACAUCUUGACGGUACCUAAUCAGAAAGCCACGGCUAACUACGUG
rnacentral:rRNA from 1 species